rnacentral:rRNA from 1 species
UACAGAGGGUGCGAGCGUUAAUCGGAAUUACUGGGCGUAAAGGGCUCGUAGGCGGCCAACUAAGUCGGAUGUGAAAUCCCCAGGCUUAACCUGGGAACUGCAUCCGAUACUGGAUGGCUUGAAUCCGGGAGAGGGAUGCGGAAUUCCAGGUGUAGCGGUGAAAUGCGUAGAUAUCUGGAGGAACACCGGUGGCGAAGGCGGCAUCCUGGGCUAACACUGACGCUCAGGCACGAAAGCGUGGGGAGCAAACAGGG